rnacentral:lncRNA from 1 species
GUGCCAUUAAGGACGCAUAGCUAGGGUUGCCGAACCCCAGACUGUCUGAGAACUGGCAUAUGAAAGCCUAUGCCUUGGGGGGAGCUAAAUAUAAGGUAGCAUGAAUAUUUUUAAUACCCAACCAUAAUGAAACCUGUGGAAGCUUUGAUCAUCUGGUUGAUGACCAUAACUAUUUGGCUAAGUUUAUGGCAUACUUUAUUUAGGGAUGGUGAUUGUGGCCAACUCAAUAGAUCUGCAAUCCGAUCCGAUCUGAAUAGGAUAGAUUUUAUUUGACCUGAUCUGAUCCAACCUGCUUCGAUUAAAAUUCAAAGC